CACAAGGCGAGAAGAAAGCCGGCUUUCUUGAGAGGCACCAUCCUGUCCCUUCUGAGGCCAGAUUCAGGCCUCAGAUGCCUGACACUUUGUCCCCGGCUGGGGCUUGGAGUUUCUCUAUGACUCGGGACAAAGGACGUACAGAAGAGAAGGAAAGUACCUUGAGCCCAAGAAGGAGACUCAGGUUCUUGAAAAGUGGCAGUGACGGUCAGAUGUGCGGAGAUCCUCAGGCCAUCUGACUCAGGAUGGGAAAAGUCACCAUUUGUAACCUUGCUGUCUCUCCAGGAUCACUUUUCUCAGUUUUUUCCAGAAGUUUCUCCUCUGUGACCCAAACCGUGCUCCCGUUUCCCCUCUCUCUACAACUUCCUUUUUCACUUUCCAUGCUAGGAUUUGGGUCUCACGUCAAUCCCUUGGUUCAGAUUCCACACACAUCCCCAUUUCGGCAACAGAUUGUCAGGCAGGAAGACACUGAACUCUAUGGUGGCCAGCGUGACCUGUGUGCAGGUGACACUGACUGUGGCUGCUCCUGCUGAUGUAUCUUGUAUUUGUGGAAGUCUUUUUGUUCUUGAUUCUGCUUAGGGACAGUCCCAGAAUCACUGGGACUCUAAAAAAAGAGAUGAGAAGGGCCCCAGUGACCAGUUACAUCAGGAAAUGAGCUACAAUGUUAGUGGAAAGGAAAGAGCCCUCCUGAAAGUCUCUAGGCUAAAAGUGAGAAGAACAUUUCUGGGAUCUUAUGGGGGCAGGGAGAGGAGCCAGAAAGAAGCAAGCAAUGACACUGGUGUGUGUAGAUUAAGAGGCUCACAGCCAUGGUCCCAUUAGAUAAGGUGCAAAUCCAGCAGGAGACCAGAACUAUUGAUUGAGGUUAUCUUCAGUGGAAUAAAAACGCACUGGAGAUGGCUGAAAUCCAGCCCGUAAUCAACAGGCAUACGGACUGUAAGAUAUUUACAGCAAUCAUCUCCUCUGUGACAGAGAAAAAGAAUUGCAAGGAGAAGUAUAGAGACCCCCCAGACUCCAUUUGUGCAUGGUGCCUCCACACCUUUGCACAGGUAUUCCACCCACCUGCAAGCCCUCCCUUCCUUUACGUGCCUGCUCUUUGCUUCCCACUCUCCACUAAGUUAGCUGGUCCUUCUCUCUGCUCACAGGGUUAGCGUGAGAAUUAAGUGAAUUGAUUUAUGUAAAAUCCUUGGACAGAACCUGGAACCCAACACUCAAAGAUUAUUGUUUUUAUUGUUAUUCUAGCACAGCACCCUUCACCUACCUCUACACGGAUUGGUGGGUUGGUAGUCAUAUGCUUGUCUAUUGCACCCACUUGACGGUGAGUUCUUGGGCAGCAGGAACCACUCAUUAAGUGUUCUCAUAUCCUAAGAACCUGGGAUGGGGAGAGUUCAGAGCCUGGUAUAUAGUAAGUGACCAAUAAAUGUUGAAUGAAUAUAUAAAUGAAAAAAUGAACACCUAUGCACUUUUGAGAUGUGUGAUGAGCAAAACACGUGCCUGCUACCAGAGGUGGUCACAUUCCCUUGGGCAUGUGUUCCUUCACCCCUCACCCACUGGUUCAGGCUCUCCGCCAACAGCCCGUGGUCCACGCUCUUAGGGGAGAGUUCAUUUUGCUUUUCUCCAAGGCAGCCAACAUCAACAGCAAUGUGGAGAUGAAAAACAGACCAGGACCAAUGAAAGCUGCUCCUUCUCCAGCUGAGGUUCUAACUGUUUUAAUUCUGCUAAUGAGACCCAGCUAGGAGUAAUCAGGAAACAUCUAAAAUUAGCUGUUUUAAUUUGAGCAAGAGGGAAAGGGACAACUCCGAAGGGGGCACAGUCUCUAGUGGAGAGAGUGGGAUCCCAAGAAACUCCAGAAAAACCAGAGAAACAUCUGGUGCUUCCACACCCAAGAGAGUGCCCCGGAUGGACUCGGGAUCUCCAUGACUCAGCACUUACCCACAGAUUAGAACAAUUCACUCGUCAAUUUUCCCAGAAUCCAUUGUGUUUCCAGUUAGCGGCCAUGGCUACAACCUGGAAAAAAUUAGCCAGAGUUUGGUUAUGGGAGACCUUCCUCCAACUCAACUUACCACUUUCUACUGCAUCAUUUUGAUUCUCAUUUGUCACCAGUAAAAGUUAGGCACAUGGUAGGUGCUUCACUGUCUUUGUCAAUUUUGUUUUUUUUAUAUCUUCUGAAUCCCUAUGAGAAACUUACUGCCUACCGUUUAUUUACUAAUCCAUCAAGCAUUUAUUGAGCACAUGUUAUAAGCUAGAUACUGAGGUAGGGACAAGGGCUUCACACAAAGAGGAAAGAGACACAGUUCUGCCUUAAGAAGCUCAGUCCGCUGGGGAGACAAAAUGGAAACAAACAACCGCGCCAUCAUGGGAUAAUCGCUACGUGGAAGUAAGAUACGAGCAACUUGCAGCCAAAGAAUGUCUUCUAAUUAUUGAUCUUCCCAUCUUCACAGAACCUUUCACACAGUGAAUCCGAAUGCCUCUGUCUGGGUUCCUAAACAGACCCCUGCCUGGAGCCUCCUCCCCUCUUCCAGUGUUUGGGGCACUGGAUCACCUCCAGCCUUCCCCAAACUGGGCGAUUUACAGCUAGAGAAUCGUGACUUCCUCUCUCUCUGCGACCCUCCCCCCCCCAUAAAAAAAGCAGAAAGCAAGUUGGACAUCAAAAGCGUCUUUAAAACCAACAUUUUGAUGACUUAAGAGUAAAUGAAUGAGAACCAUACGGCUUGAAUUUCCUUUAUGAUACACAAGGGCUCUUUCUGGACUCACUUUCCAUCGCUGCCAAGCUAAUGAUGAGAGUGCAAGCGGCCCAAGCCCCACAUCAUCGACAGAUGGCUCCCCAUAUUUGGAAAAUCUUCACGUGGCCGAGGGAGGAAAUUGCCAGCCCCUCCAAAUCAGCUAUGCGCCCAGUGGUGCUCUUGCCUCUGCUUCUACGCUCCAUCCCCGUCAGAAAGAAAUUCCACGCCCAGUGGCCCCAAGGCCCCAGGGCAGGCAGAGAUGCCUUCCUGGAGCCGGCAGCCGGGGGCGUAGCAGAAAGAGCACAGGACCUCAAAAAGAUCGAGAGGCCUGGAUGCCAGGCCGGAUUUACCACUGGCAAGCCCGUAUUACCUCCCGGAGCUUUUGUUUUGUCACUCGAAGACGGAGAUAAUGAUCCUGCGCUCUGAUAACGUAAGGAUAAAAAAGAUGACAUACGACACAUUGUCACCCAGCAAAUAGCCAACACUAAUGGAUUCUAAACACAAUAAGGGCACCAGAAGUCUUGAUGUUCUAUGGGUAUGUAAGUCAGUAGCUGGCUUCUUCUGUUCCCUGCCAGCGGGUGGGGGGCGGGGGGGAGUUGAGAGGAGAUCCCAGCUUCCGAGGAUGGCGGAGGAGCCCAGGAGACUUGGCCCUUGUUUUGACGCUGUGAUCACAGAAGAACCAUCGUGGAGACGCAGAGUUGCAGCGGUCAGUGCCCUUAUCCUCAGAGCAGUGACGUCCUUCCUUCCCAAGGUCCAAGCUCACUUUCAGAGUCACAGGUGCAUGGCUGUGACCUGACUGUCAUCUUUAAAACCCUUCCAACCCUGACUGGCUCUGGCAGAUAAAAACAUAUCUGAGUCACAGCUGGACAAAGCUGGCCGAGCUGGAGGCACAAAGCUCCAGACAUCCCACAGCAGAAGAAAGGCCCAGCUGCAUUUCCGUGAGCAGAGCCAGGCCCAGGUGGGUGCUGGCCUGAGCUCUGUGGGUGCUCCCUUCCCACUAACAUCGGUCGGUGGUGCAAACCGGUUCAACAUCAAGCAAAGCCAAGCAAGGGCGUAGGGGUGAAGGCUGGAGAGAGGUGGCGUAAAAUGGUGAGUAGCUGCAGACAGGGUGGCUUAGGAAAGGCUUGAGAGCCGCCUCCUUCCUUCUGCCUCCGCCUACUGUUUGCAAAAUCCACUCACUGAUUUUCUAACCGUCCGUUCUGGGCCAGGCUAGGAGCCUGGAGUCUAGGAGCAGGGUCAGAGUGGAGAACACGACAGCUGAGGCCCCUGUCUUCCUGGAACUUCUAGUCUAGCAGAAGUCUGACAAGAAAGUGAGUCACUUGGGGUGCUUGGGUGGCUCAGUCGGUUAAGCCUCCAUCUCUUGAUUUCGG